rnacentral:lncRNA from 1 species
GGUAACGCAGGUGUCCUAAGGCGAGCUCAGCGAGGACAGAAACCUCGCGGAGAGCAAAAGGGCAAAUGCUUGCUUGAUCUUGAAUUUCAGUACGAUUCGAGACCGCGAAAGCGGGGCCCCUCGACCACG